UGUAUGCGCUAUACCAUCACCACUAAAGCUAAGCAGGGCUGGGCCUGGUCAGUACCUGGAUGGGAGACCACAUGGGAAAAACUAGGUUGCUGUUGCAA
rnacentral:rRNA from 1 species